GGGUCCAGUGCUCAUCGUCGUCAAAGUGGGCAUCUCCCUGCAUACCCGGACCUGGAGGGUAGGCGUGGGCCAGAAGGCCAUCCUUACCGUCAAAUGGAUUGUCCAGUUGCUUGCCUUUUAUGGUCAAAGAAGAUGUUGUACCUAUCAGUGAAGAGGAGCUGGUUUGCUGAUUUUGCGGUGGGACUCGGAGACUGUGCAACACACAGGGCCGUCACUGCGUUUGAUGUGGAGGAAAUGUUACCCCAUCACCACGUCCAGGUACUUUACCAGGCCCUGCUGAGUCUGCUGCGCCUCACAGUUAUUCUGGGAACAGUUUUGUUUUUAUACUCCACUAAACUCUCACAGCAAUUUAUUUUGGCUUUCUCAGAGAGCCUCUGUGUUUCCUUUUGUUUUAUUUGUGAUCACUCUGGGUUGUUCGCUUCAUUAUUACAAUAACAAUGAAUCCAAAACAGUAGUGAGCAGCUCGUUUGACGUGUUGUGUCUGAAUAUUCGUAACCCUUUGCAAUUUGUCGGGAUACUAUGCAUGCUUGUGGGUGAAACUGGCACACAAAGAUCCUUAGAGCACAACAAACAAAACAAAUGACACAACCAAAACAAAAAGUGAUCAAAACAAGCUAUCGCCAAGGCGGAAACCAUGUUUCGCCCUCUGAGCCCUCAAAUGUCACUCAUAUAGCAACUUGUCUGUAAUGAAUCACAAGUCAACACUAAAAGUUGUACAGAAAUAAUUCCAUGAAGAAACUUCAUAAAGUUGUGUACAGUCAUCUGAAUGGGCUUGGAAGAGGCCAUGGCUUUGACUCAUGUUUCCCUGAAGCAGCAGCCAAGAGUCUUACUUCUGCUUCAACAAUCACUUUAUCAAAAUCUAGACUAUUACUCACCUUUGGGAAUAUUUUUUUCUUUACUGUGCAAACACAUAGCCCUCUAUAAAUAUGUUGUGAAGAUUAGGAGAUACAAAAGAGGGAUUAUAAGGGUGUGAUAUACGCUGAUAUUAGUCAUAUAAAUAUAAAUUCUAAUGUUUUCCAGUUCACUGUUGGACUUUCAGAUGCUGAAUGAUCGUGAAAAUGCUGAUUCUCAUAGUGAUGUGUCAUCUUCUGUCACAUCCAGCCCAGAAUGAACAACAUAAAGCAAAG